UACGAAGGGGGCUAGCGUUGCUCGGAAUCACUGGGCGUAAAGGGUGCGUAGGCGGGUCUUUAAGCCAGGGGUGAAAUCCUGGAGCUCAACUCCAGAACUGCCUUUGAUACUGAAGAUCUUGAGUUCGGGAGAGGUGAGUGGAACUGCGAGUGUAGAGGUGAAAUUCGUAGAUAUUCGCAAGAACACCAGUGGCGAAGGCGGCUCACUGGCCCGAUACUGACGCUGAGGCACGAAAGCGUGGGGAGCAAACAGG
rnacentral:rRNA from 1 species